rnacentral:rRNA from 1 species
GACGAACGCUGGCGGCGUGCUUAACACAUGCAAGUCGAACGAAGAGCGAUGGAAGCUUGCUUCUAUCAAUCUUAGUGGCGAACGGGUGAGUAACGCGUAAUCAACCUGCCCUUCAGAGGGGGACAACAGUUGGAAACGACUGCUAAUACCGCAUACGAUCUAAUCUCGGCAUCGAGGAUAGAUGAAAGGUGGCCUCUACAUGUAAGCUGUCACUGAAGGAGGGGAUUGCGUCUGAUUAGCUAGUUGGAGGGGUAACGGCCCACCAAGGCGAUGAUCAGUAGCCGGUCUGAGAGGAUGAACGGCCACAUUGGGACUGAGACACGGCCCAGACUCCUACGGGAGGCAGCAGUGGGGAAUCUUCCGCAAUGGACGAAAGUCUGACGGAGCAACGCCGCGUGAGUGAUGACGGCCUUCGGGUUGUAAAGCUCUGUUAAUCGGGACGAAAGGCCUUCUUGCGAAUAGUGAGAAGGAUUGACGGUACCGGAACAGAAAGCCACGGCUAACUACGUG